rnacentral:lncRNA from 1 species
GGAGAGCAGCAAGAGAAAGAAAGAGAGAGGCAAGCGAAAUUCCUGAAUGGAUAGACAGAUGCUACGUCAUCGGAGCUGCAUCCUCCACUCCACAAGAGGCUAGGAGCUGGGGGGAGAGAGGCAGUCCAGCCGCAGGGGCCACCCGAACAGUCUCUCCUCCUCACAGAAGCCUGGAGCUGGGCAUCCAAGAAGAAGCAGCCUCAUUUGUUUUCUGGUGUCAUCGUAGGUGGCCACCUAUGGCUUUUGGGCUUCUCACCUGGGGCGGGUGGGUUCUGCACCACCCUCCCACCCUCCUUCCUCCGUGUGGACGAUAGAGCCACAUCCAGCACCACGGACAGCUCCCGGGCGACCAAAAAGAAGAAUGUACUUCAUCUGGUUGGGCUGGAUUCCCUCUGAUAAGCCUUCCCAGUUGACUGAAAGAUGAGGCUAGGCUCUAGCAAGUUGAAGUCAAACCAGCUCCUUCAAGAAGCUUUGAGCAGAAUGAAGUGGGGAGGACCCAGCUUCCAGCCCAGGAAGCCCACUGUACCUGGAGCCAUCUGGGAUAAGACUUUGACCCAUGACUCCCAUAUCCACAGCCUGUCCAUCCUAGCCCAUCCCAGUUUAUCCUGUAUCAUUUGAGCUGGGAUUCCCACAUCCUCUGAGUUGGAAGUCCCAUCUCAAGUCUUCAAUAAAGACUCUUGAAUAUUGAAUCACAUUAAAAAAAAAA